rnacentral:rRNA from 1 species
GGACUCAUCCGAGGCCCCGUAAUCGGAAUGAAUACACUUUAAAUCCUUUAAUGAGGAUCCAUUGGAGGGCAAGUCUGGUGCCAGCAGCCGCGGUAAUUCCAGCUCCAAUAGCGUAUAUUAAAGUUGUUGCGGUUAAAAAGCUCGUAGUUGAAUCUGUGUUUCAUACUGUUUGGUUCAUCGCUCGUCGAUGUUAACUGGCAUGUUAUGAAACGUCCUACCGGUGGACUUAGCUGAAUGUAAAAAUUUGGCGGUUCAAUUUAAUCCUAUCGCGGUGCUCUUAAUUGAGUGUCGAGAUGGGCCGGUACGUUUACUUUGAACAAAUUAGAGUGCUUAAAGCAGGCUUAUUUUGCCUGAAUACUGUGUGCAUGGAAUAAUAGAAUAGGACCUCGGUUCUAUUUUGUUGGUUUUCGGAACUCCGAGGUAAUGAUUAAUAGGGACAGAUGGGGGCAUUCGUAUUGCGACGUUAGAGGUGAAAUUCUUGGAUCGUCGCAAGACGAACAGAAGCGAAAGCAUUUGCCAAAAAUGUUUUCAUUAAUCAAGAACGAAAGUUAGAGGUUCGAAGGCGAUCAGAUACCGCCCUAGUUCUAACCAUAAACGAUGCCAGCUAGCGAUCCGCCGAUGUUCCUCCGAUGACUCGGCGGGCAGCUUCCGGGAAACCAAAGCUUUUGGGUUCCGGGGGAAGUAUGGUUGCAAAGCUGAAACUUAAAGGAAU